CAAACAAACGUUUUUGAUAUAUGCUAAGUGUUGUGAUGAUUGUUCUGGUCAGAUAAAAAACAUGUAUUAACUUUCACUUAACUUAUAUAAAGGGGUGAUUGUGUUAGUAAAAAUGUUGGGUUUUUUUUUUCACUUCUUCAGAGGUGUUUUUUUUUUUUAAUUUUAAAAGUCUUAAAUCUCGUCAGAUAUUAUAUUUUGUAAACGUAACAGUUAUGUUACUUCAGGUUGUUUCACGAAGUCUUACACUAAAAAUUUCCUGCAGAAAGCAGUCAUUCAAAUCACAACAUAGAACACAUAUCGAGAAAACGGAGAUCAGUGACAACGUCCAACGGGAAACGAACUGAUUUGAUACAAUUAACGAUUUUCUGAAUUUCAUAGAAUGUUCACCUUUAUUAAACCUUUUAUUCAUAAAAUAAUCUGUGAUACAAGCUGCUUUCCUUUUAUUAGACAUAAGUAUUGCUGUUGUUGUUUAAAUUCAUCAACAAUUUGCCGCUUGAAAAUAUACUGCUAAAUCGUCCCAUUUUAAAGCGCUCUUACAAUACAGAUACAGACACGUGGUUUAUAAUUAUCACUUCUCCUACUUUGGAGGUGUGCCUAAAUUUGCAGAUAGAUCUAUACUUUAACGCGGACCUCGACGAAGACACC
rnacentral:lncRNA from 1 species